AGGAGACGUGUGAGGUGAAAGUCUCACCUACGUUUCUCAAGGGGAGGAGAUGGAGUUGACUCUAUUCUCAGCCCCUAAU
rnacentral:misc_RNA from 1 species